CACUUAAUAUGGAUAAUCGAGAUUUCCACUUUCUUGAUUAUAAGCCUGGAACAAAUGGAUCAUGCCCUUUUAUGCAAGCAGUUGAGCUUACACCAUGAAAUAAUAUGAGAAAACCUGCCUACUUAUACUCUACUUUUCUUGUUUCACAAAUACAUCCUGGAAGAGGAUUUGCAUAAAAACUUUCCUCCAGCUUUGGAAACUCUCCAGGCUCCCGUAGAUAUGGAGCUCCAAUUCGAUCUUUGUGAAACUCUUUCACUUUGGAACUGAAUGUCUCCC
rnacentral:misc_RNA from 1 species